CCUGAGCUCACAAGACUGCCAGCUCUUCCCAGAAUAUUGUAACAGUAGCCAGUUCUUUGGGAGCAUAAGAAUCUAUGUCCCAGCAAGCAUGGAGGGGAUUUCCUUGCUGUCAGGACGUCUGUUGAAGGCCACAUUUUGCCUUCACACACCACAUCUCACUGGAAUCCAUGUACAAGAUAUUUGCUGCUUGUCAGAUCUGUCAGCUCAGCUGCUCAAAUGAGCCCUGACCUGCUCCAGCUAAAUCAACUCACCAGCUUUCCGAAGUAGUGAUCAGCUAGUGUUUAUUGGAUUAAUAAUUAACAUGACCAUGCUCUUGCAACUAUGUAUUUUUUAUUGCUAAUUCCAUUUUGAUAGUAAUUGAAGGUGAUUUAUAUUUUGUCUUGGUAAACAAAAAAGACUCUGUUUCCCAGUGUCAUUUUGCCAAUGUCUGAAAUUUCCUUUGUAGACUGUUCAUUCCAAAAAAAGAAAUAGCUUGAAACAAUUAUUAAUAUAACUUAAAAAGAUAUUAAAGCUUGCUUAGUUUAUAGCUUCUGUCACUUUUAUAAUGAAACCUUAAUCAAUAUCUCACAGAUUAU